rnacentral:rRNA from 1 species
UACAGAGGUCUCAAGCGUUGUUCGGAUUCAUUGGGCGUAAAGGGUGCGUAGGCGGCGCGGUAAGUCGGGUGUGAAAUCUCGGAGCUUAACUCCGAAACUGCAUUCGAUACUGCCGUGCUUGAGGACUGGAGAGGAGACUGGAAUUUCCGGUGUAGCGGUGAAAUGCGUAGAUAUCGGAAGGAACACCAGUGGCGAAGGCGGCUACCUGGAUUGACACUGACACUGAGGCGCGAGAGCGUGGGGAGCAAACAGG